rnacentral:rRNA from 1 species
GCGAGCGAACGCGGAUUAGCCCAAACCAGAUUUGUUACGGCAAAUUUGGGGUUGUAGGACCACAACAUUGAAUGUCAUAUGAAUUAGAACGCUUUGGAAAGAGCGACCAGAGAGGGUGAUAGUCCCGUAUAGGUAAAGAAGACAAACAUAGUGGUAUCCUGAGUAGUGCGGGACACGAGUAAUCCUGUAUGAAACAGUCGGGACCAUCCGAUAAGGCUAAAUACUCUUGAGAGACCGAUAGUGAACUAGUACCGUGAGGGAAAGGUGAAAA